UGUUCUCCUCAGCACUCUUCUGCCAAGACCAUGUCUUCUCCUUGGUCUGUGCCUCGUCCCCAGUCAGCUCCUGUGUCUACGGAACAUGGCCCGUCAUCUUCCGAUUUCUCGUUUUUCUACUAGGGCAAGGUCCUUUCAUCAUACAUCUCCACGAUCACCAGUGCCGCCUGCUCAAUCCUCAUUCUCUCUGACGCCUCAAUUUUUCAUUCAGGAUUGGGCAAUAUGGGAUGGACCAAAUACCUUGUUCUCGAAUAAGGAACUUGCUAUCUUCUAAACAUCACUGAAGGCAGUAGGUUGUGCAGGAGGAUGGAAAACUAGACUGCAUUCCAGAUGCAAUACAAUACGAUACAAUGCACAUUUUUGCUUUCCACGAACAUGUCAUUUCAGUUUUACAUAGGAUACCUUUAAAGAAAGUA